UUAGAUCUCUGUGUUGAGCACAAGUUCAGU
rnacentral:piRNA from 1 species